rnacentral:rRNA from 1 species
UACGAAGGGGGCUAGCGUUGCUCGGAAUCACUGGGCGUAAAGGGUGCGUAGGCGGGUCUUUAAGUCAGGGGUGAAAUCCUGGAGCUCAACUCCAGAACUGCCUCUGAUACUGAGGAUCUUGAGUUCGGGAGAGGUGAGUGGAACUGCGAGUGUAGAGGUGAAAUUCGUAGAUAUUCGCAAGAACACCAGUGGCGAAGGCGGCUCACUGCCCGAUACUGACGCUGAGGCACGAAAGCGUGGGGAGCAAACAGG